GCUCCCUCCGCCGCUGCUCUCGCGCUGCUUCUUCUCUCCUCGCCGGAGGUUUGUCAUCGUCUUCUCUCAUCGCUGUUAGUUCAGGUCCGCUGAAGGUUACACCAUCUAUGGUCGAGUGAAGAUCCCCAGCAAGCAAUCGACGAAGAUAAGGAAGAAGAUCGUACCACAGAUUAAGACAACGCUGCUAUCACUAUCACUGUUAAAAC